ACGGAGGGUGCAAGCGUUAAUCGGAAUAACUGGGCGUAAAGCGCACGCAGGCGGUUUUAUAAGUCAGAUGUGAAAUCCCCGGGCUCAACGUUGGAAUUGCCUUUGAAACUGACUGACUAGAGUCCUGUAGAGGGGGGUAGAAUGCCAGGUGUAGCGGUGAAAUGCGUAGAGAUCUGGAGGAAUACCGGUGGCGAAGGCGGCCUCCUGGACAACGACUGACGCUCAGGUGCGAAAGCGUGGGGAGCAAACAG
rnacentral:rRNA from 1 species